rnacentral:rRNA from 1 species
UUGGAUCUCGCUAUCUGCAGUCGACGAACUCUGGUAUUGAUUGGUGCUUGCAUCAUGAUUUACAUUUGAGUGAGUGGCGAACUGGUGAGUAACACGUGGGAAACCUGCCCAGAAGCGGGGGAUAACACCUGGAAACAGAUGCUAAUACCGCAUAACAACUUGGACCGCAUGGUCCGAGCUUGAAAGAUGGCUUCGGCUAUCACUUUUGGAUGGUCCCGCGGCGUAUUAGCUAGAUGGUGGGGUAACGGCUCACCAUGGCAAUGAUACGUAGCCGACCUGAGAGGGUAAUCGGCCACAUUGGGACUGAGACACGGCCCAAACUCCUACGGGAGGCAGCAGUAGGGAAUCUUCCACAAUGGACGAAAGUCUGAUGGAGCAACGCCGCGUGAGUGAAGAAGGGUUUCGGCUCGUAAAACUCUGUUGUUAAAGAAGAACAUAUCUGAGAGUAACUGUUCAGGUAUUGACGGUAUUUAACCAGAAAGCCACGGCUAACUACGUGCCAGCAGCCGCGGUAAUACGUAGGUGGCAAGCGUUGUCCGGAUUUAUUGGGCGUAAAGCGAGCGCAGGCGGUUUUUUAAGUCUGAUGUGAAAGCCUUCGGCUCAACCGAAGAAGUGCAUCGGAAACUGGGAAACUUGAGUGCAGAAGAGGACAGUGGAACUCCAUGUGUAGCGGUGAAAUGCGUAGAUAUAUGGAAGAACACCAGUGGCGAAGGCGGCUGUCUGGUCUGUAACUGACGCUGAGGCUCGAAAGUAUGGGUAGCAAACAGGAUUAGAUACCCUGGUAGUCCAUACCGUAAACGAUGAAUGCUAAGUGUUGGAGGGUUUCCGCCCUUCAGUGCUGCAGCUAACGCAUUAAGCAUUCCGCCUGGGGAGUACGGCCGCAAGGCUGAAACUCAAAGGAAUUGACGGGGGGCCCGCACAAGCGGUGGAGCAUGUGGUUUAAUUCGAAGCUACGCGAAGAACCUUACCAGGUCUUGACAUACUAUGCAAAUCUAAGAGAUUAGACGUUUCCCUUCGGGGACAUGGAUACAGGGUGGUGCAUGAUGUCGUCAGCUCGUGUCGUGAGAUGUGGUUAGUCCUGCAACGAGCGCAACCUUAUAUCAGCGCUAGCAUCAGUGGCACUCUGCUGAGACUGCAUGACUACCGAGUAGGUGGGGAAUGACGUCAAAAUCCAGUC